AGAACGAACGCUGGCGGCAUGCCUAACACAUGCAAGUCGAACGAGCCCUUCGGGGCUAGUGGCGCACGGGUGCGUAACGCGUGGGAAUCUGCCCUUAGGUUCGGAAUAACAGUUAGAAAUGACUGCUAAUACCGGAUAAUGACUUCGGUCAAAAGAUUUAUCGCCUAGGGAUGAGCCCGCGUAGGAUUAGCUUGUUGGUGAGGUAAGAGCUCACCAAGGCGACGAUCCUUAGCUGGUCUGAGAGGAUGAUCAGCCACACUGGGACUGAGACACGGCCCAGACUCCUACGGGAGGCAGCAGUGGGGAAUAUUGGACAAUGGGCGAAAGCCUGGUCCAGCAAUGCCGCGUGAGUGAUGAAGGCCCUAGGGUUGUAAAGCUCUUUUGCCAGGGAUGAUAAUGACAGUACCUGGAGAAUAAGCUCCGGCUAACUCCGUGCCAGCAGCCGC
rnacentral:rRNA from 1 species